CACGCCCGGGCUCCCCGGAGCUGCGGGCAGAGUGCUUCGCUCCCACUCCCCUCAUUCUGGAAGCUUCCACGGCACGCCCUGGCCAGACCUCCUCUGCUGAACCGGGCGCUCGCGCGAUGGAAAGUUGCGGAAAGGUCAGAUGUGUGCAGAAGUAAAGAGACGGAAAGUGUGACUGGAGAAGACUGAAAUAAGGAAGGAUGAAGUGAGGCUUGGCUCCUCUGAAGAAGGAAUCCCUGAGGGGUGGAUUUCCUUACAAUGUGGGUGGCAGGUACAGCAUCAUGAAUCCAGGCCGGGCAAGCAGAUCCAGCCUUCAGAAGAAUGGCCAGUCUUUUGGAUAACUAUGUUUCCAGAAUUCCAGACUUACCACUGCCAAGGUCCUUUAACUUGACUUCCUGCUUCCCGAACCUCUGAAAUCCUCAAUUUGCCUGGCUAGUACAGGAAUGUCCAUGUAUGUUUAACUGUAGAGUCCACCAUUAAUUAUUGGUUACUAUGACAUUCUCCUGCUCUGUUGAGUCUCAACGUCAGACGUGUCUCUGAGAUUUUCAAAAUAGCCAGAUGCUUCAAUCACAGCCUGAAAGUGUUCCAUUAUGAAACCAAAUCCUUCCUCUCAUCUCAGGUUGCCAGCCCUGCCUUCUGCUGGUAAUGUCUACUUGAAUGUCCCCAUGACAAACACUUAGCAUCUCAAAUCCAGAUUUAGCUCAUCAAAUCCAGAUCUCACAUCCAGUUUCUUCAUCUUGGCUACUGAUGCUCUAAGUCACAUGGGUUAAGAAAAAAAUGAAAACAACAACUCUGCUCUCGAUACCACCUACCCGGAGAGGUCUUACCUUUUUCCUUCUCAUUUUCUCUGUCUCCUUCCAUUCUUUCUUUCUUGCUAAAGAAACACACCCUUAAUGCUACACCUCAAGUUCUAUUCUCAUUGGCCAACUUCCUGUGGCCGCUUCCUGUCCCAAACUGGGCACUCUAUUUUAUGGUUAGACUCAUCAUACUCAUGAUUUUUUCAUCUUUAAACUCAAAAGAGUUCACAGAAGAUCUGGAAACAAUACUAACCCAUGAACCUAGAAUUCAGAUAAUUCUACUAAGACAUUAAGCCACCUCAUUCUAUAUCCUGUACUUGUUUGAUUUGGCUUGCUGUCUUCCAAAGCAGGACAGAUGUUUUAUUUUUACACUGCCAAGUUUGUGUAGCAAUCAUUGACAUCAUUUUGGUUCCUGUAUAGGCCAACCUUGACCCAAGAAUGCAGGACGAGUAUUUUUGUGUGGUGUUCAGAAGAAACUGAGUAGGUGAGGUUGAAAAUUUUGAGAAAAGACACUCAGGAGUUGAUCCAUUUUGUAGUCUAACCCAGUGGGUGGGACCCUUCAUUCAGUAGACCUGAUGUAAAAUUUACCCCCGUAAAUAGCCUAGUCAAGAUACAAGAUAUCUGGGCUAUCUUCACAUUCAGCACCAUCAUUCAUUGACCGGAGGGCCAUGAAACACGUCUUGCUUUCCACACAUUCCCAGCCUACUAUGCCCAGAGAUACAGCAACCCACCAAUGAUUAUGUAACUCUGGACUAUCAGAAGUCAGAAUGGCAUGCUUAAAAUGGUAAGACCAAAGUAAAAAACAAGAGUAAGCCUAUGCUCCUUGGUUCAUGUUACCUUUCUGUAUAUUAAGUGUAUGAAUGUAAUAAGUGAUAUAGAGAAAUCAGGAAAAGUAAAAACAUGAAAGAAGAAA